UUCAUCUUAUCGAACACGUCUAUGUCAUGUUAUAUCGGUUCAUUAUGAUAAUCUAUUAAAAUUGAAUUGUUUGAAGUCUAAAGCUGCCAUUUUUAUUAUUACGGAAGUUUUACAACGUCAUAAAGUAUAAUUUAGUUCAUUUGUUUCUAGAGGAGAGCCGAAUCCAUGUUUUAUAGAGGCAUUUCCGACGUCUAUGCUAUUCUACAUUAAUGCGCUUUUCAUGUUCUUGUUCCAUUUGUACAUUACGGCCAUACACCGAUUAAAAUCAAUUCCAUUCGAAAAUACUUCGCCUUGUGUUAAAAUGUAUUUUAUUAUUUAUCGUGGCAUAGGUGAGGGCGCCGGUACGGAUAGGUAGCGUAAGUUGGCAACCCUGCUUAUAAGAAAAAUAGAGAAUUCUAACGGACAGACAGUGUCUAGCGUCUUUUAUUGUUUUCAAUAAUAAAUAAUUAACUUCCUUGUUUCAAAAUUUAACAAAAUUUGAUUCGACUUUAAUUAUAAUUGCGCGUUUUUAAUUAUUACGUUUGUCAGGGUGGUAGUUUCACAAGAGUUUCGUACUAGUAUUGAAUUGAAAUAGUCUUAGGACGAUAUUAUGGAUUUAAAACAGGCAUAACAAGGAGAAUAUUAUAUAGGGUAAUAAUGUCGUGUAAAAAACUUAGUGAAAAGUGUGGUUAAGCGGUAUCAGAGCUUGUACGGAGCCGGGACGCGUUGGGAAAAAGUAUCGGGUCGAGAUUGAUUUUCUCCUUCAUCAAAUCUCUUAUGAACUCGGCCGUCCUGGGGUCGAACUCCGUUUUGCCUUCCGCUGGGUUGCUCUGAUCCAUUUCGGCCACCAUUUAAACAGAAGUGCCGACCUCUGAGAGAAGAGACAGACCUGACGAACUUCGGAUCUCCAAGCGAUAAUGUAAACAAAUCGGGAAAACGCCGAAAACAGGAGAACUUGGGUCAAGUAAACAAACGAGAGUCGAGAAAGAUUAUGGCCGGCACCUGGAGCUGCAGUCUGGCCAACAUAAAAACCGCCGGCUCUGAAAUGCCCCUUUUUUCCCGUGACUUGUUUUCGUCUAUUUUUUUAAAAUAAUUAUUGUUAAUUACAUCCAUAAUAAACGUACAAAAAUAAAUUUACUUUCCUUCC